GACGAACGCUGGCGGCGUGCUUAACACAUGCAAGUCGAGCGGUAAGGCCCUUUCGGGGGUACGACGGCGGGCGAACGGGUAGGAGUAACAACGUGGGUGGACCUCGCCCUCCAGCUCUGGGAGUAAGCCUCGGGAAACCGGGUACUAAUACUGGAUAUGACUCCAUGACGCAUGUUGUGGGGUGGAAAGCCUUGUGCGGCUGAGGAUGGGCCCGCGGCCUAUCAGCUUGUUGGUGGGGUGAUGGCCUACCAAGGCGACGACGGGUAGCCGGCCUGAGAGGGCGACCGGCCACACUGGGACUGAGACACGGCCCAGACUCCUACGGGAGGCAGCA
rnacentral:rRNA from 1 species